rfam:Gorilla gorilla gorilla genomic chromosome, chr17, whole genome shotgun sequence
GCCGGGUGUGGUGGUGCAUGCCUGUAAUCCCAGCUACUUAGGAGGCUGAGGCAGGAGAAUCACUUGAACCCAGGAGGCAGAGGUUGCAGUAAGCCAAGAUUGCACCACUGCACUCUAGUCUGGGUGACAGAGUGAGACCCUGUCUCGAU